UGCAAGUCGUACGAGGGUUUUUAACUUUAGUGGCGGACGGGUGAGUAACACGUGAGAAUUUGCCUUUAGGAGGGGGAUAACAAUCGGAAACGAAUGCUAAUACCCCAUAUGCUUUUGAGUGAAAUGGAUUUAUCCGCCUAAAGAGAAGCUCGCGGCUGAUUAGCUUGUUGGUAAGGUAAGAGCUUACCAAGGCGACGAUCAGUAUCUGGUUUGAGAGGACGAUCAGACACACUGGAACUGAGACACGGUCCAGACUCCUACGGGAGGCAGCAGUGGGGAAUUUUCCGCAAUGGGCGAAAGCCUGACGGAGCAAUACCGCGUGAGGGAAGACUGCCUAUGGGUUGUAAACCUCUUUUUUCAGGGAGGAAUAAAUUGACGUGUACCUGAAGAAUAAGCAUCGGCUAACUCCGUGCGAGCAGCCGCGGUAAGACGGAGGAUGCAAGUGUUAUCCGGAAUCACUGGGCGUAAAGCGUCUGUAGGUGGUUUAAUAAGUCAACUGUUAAAUCUUGAGGCUCAACUUCAAAAUCGCAGUCGAAACUAUUAGACUAGAGUAUAGUAGAGGUAAAGGGAAUUUCCAGUGGAGCGGUGAAAUGCGUAGAUAUUGGAAAGAACACCAAUGGCGAAAGCACUUUACUGGGCUAUUACUAACACUCAGAGACGAAAGCUAGGGUAGCAAAUGGGAUUAGAUACCCCAGUAGUC
rnacentral:rRNA from 1 species